CAGUGCAAUCGCACGCCUCGACUCACAGGCUCCAUCUAAUCCUUUAUUCUCUAUAGUUUUUAUUUAUUUCGUUCUUAAUCAACAUUUCUAAAAACAGUGGAUAAGUUGUUUUCAAACAAAAUUGUUUAUACAAAUAUUUGACUACAGAUUUCGAAAGAGAACUAAUUUUUUCCAACACCCUCCCCACGAGGAUCGCCGCUCUGAUACCAAAUGAUACCUCUGAUUGAAGCAGAGGACCUAAAAUGGGGGUCCUGAAGCUUCAAUCAUGACAAAGAAGGAGAAAACAGGAAGAGGAGAAGAGAGGAGAAGAAGAAAAAGAGGAAGAAGAAGAGGAGAAGAAGAAGAAUUGGAUUCGAAUUGAUUUUCAACAGAUAACUGUUUCAGUUACAACUUAUUCCCUUUUAUAUCCAG
rnacentral:lncRNA from 1 species